rnacentral:rRNA from 1 species
GACGAACCGAGCGAACGUUGUUCGGAAUCACUGGGCUUAAAGGGCGCGUAGGCGGGUGCUCAAGUCCGGGGUGAAAUCCUCCAGCUCAACUGGAGAACUGCCUCGGAUACUGGGUGUCUCGAGGGUGGUAGGGGUAUGCGGAACUAUCGGUGGAGCGGUGAAAUGCGUUGAUAUCGGAAGGAACGCCGGUGGCGAAAGCGACGGACUGGAUCUCUUCUGACGCUGAGGCGCGAAAGCCAGGGGAGCAAACGGG